AGUUCGGAUUGUAGUCUGCAACCCGACUACAUGAAGCUGGAAUCGCUAGUAAUCGCAGGUCAGCAUACUGCGGUGAAUACGUUCCCGGGUCUUGUACACACCGCCCGUCACACCAUGGGAGCCGGAAAUGCCCGAAGCCAGUGACCCAACCUUAGGGAGGGAGCUGUCGAAGGUGGAGCCGGUAACUGGGGUGAAGUCGUAACAAGGUAAC
rnacentral:rRNA from 1 species